AGCUUUGCACAGUGGCAAUAUUAUAACCAAUGAGGUUUAUCCAAGGCACGAUUACUGCUAAUUUAAAACUUUUCCCAUUAUGCCACCAUGACAACUCGCAAUACAGUUGGCACUGGCAAGUUUUGACUGUCUCUAUGGAAA
ensembl:snRNA U4 U4 spliceosomal RNA